GGUCCUAUAGCCCAGUGGUUAAGGCAGCCAAAUUCUACAUGGUCAAAUAUGCGGUUCAAAUCCUGGGAUCA
rnacentral:tRNA from 1 species